GAUUAACGCUGGCGGCGUGCCUAACACAUGCAAGUCGAACGAAGUUGCGGACGGGUGAGUAACGCGUGAGUAACCUGCCUUAGAGAUGGGGAUAGCCUCUGGAAACGGAGAAUAAUACCCAAUGCUCUAAGAUGGACUUGCGUCUGAUUAGCUAGUUGGUGAGAUAAUGGCUCACCAAGGCAACGAUCAGUAGCCGGAUUGGGAGAGUGUACGGCCACAUUGGGCAUGAGACACGGCCCAGACUCUACGGGAGGCAGAAGUGGGGAAUGUUGCACAAUGGGGGAAACACUGAUGCAGCGACGCCGCAUGAUUUAGAAGGCCUGCUGGUUGUAAAAAUCUUUUGUAUAGGAAGCAGUACUAUACGAAUAAGGACAGGCUAAUUACGUGCCAGCAGCCGCGGUAAUAC
rnacentral:rRNA from 1 species